rnacentral:rRNA from 1 species
CAGUAGCCGCGGUAAAACGUAGGGUGCAAGCGUUAAUCGGAAUUACUGGGCGUAAAGCGUGCGCAGGCGGUUAUAUAAGACAGAUGUGAAAUCCCCGGGCUCAACCUGGGAACUGCAUUUGUGACUGUAUAGCUAGAGUACGGCAGAGGGGGAUGGAAUUCCGCGUGUAGCAGUGAAAUGCGUAGAUAUGCGGAGGAACACCGAUGGCGAAGGCAAUCCCCUGGGCCUGUACUGACGCUCAUGCACGAAAGCGUGGGGAGCAAACAGGAUUAGAUACCCCAGUAGUUCCUGUCUCUUAUAC